rnacentral:rRNA from 1 species
GGCUUGGAAGCAGCCAUUCAUUUAAAGAGUGCGUAACAGCUCACUGGUCGAGAGAUCCUGCACGGAAAAUAAUCGGGCAUCAAACCAUAAACCGAAGUUCUAAACCGUCCGCUCGGCGGACGUGUGGUAGGGGAGCAUUGAAAUCUGCUGCGAAGGUGUCUGGCGAUGGAUGCUGGAGCGAUUUCAAAAGAAAAUGUAGGCAUAAGUAACGAUAAUUGAAGUGAAAAACUUCAACGCCGUAAACCCAAGGUUUCCUGAUCAAUGUUAAUCAGAUCAGGGUUAGUCGGGUCCUUAGGCAAACCCGAAAGGGGCAGCUGAUGGAAAGUUGGUUAAUAUUCCAACACCUGCUUAUACUUCGAUGGGGUGACGGGGUAGUGAAAGGUCCGCGUUCUUACGGAAUAGAACGUUAAAGGGUGUAGAUAUAGGCUGUACAGGUAAAUCCGUACGGCUUGUCGAACCUGAUAGUACAGCAAAGCUUCGGCAGCGCUGAUAGUGACCCUAAUCAAACCUCCGAGAAAAACCUCUAAGUUAUGGUAUAAGCAGCCCGUACCGUAAACCGACACAGGUGGGUGGGAUGAAUAUUCUAAGGCGCUCGGGUGAGCCGUGGAGAAGGAACUAGGCAAAUUGACGCUGUAACUUCGGGAUAAAGCGUACCGACUUCGGUCGGUCUCAGUAAAAUGGUUCAACCAACUGUUUAACAAAAACACAGGGCCCUGCAAAAUCGAAAGAUGACGUAUAGAGCCUGAUACCUGCCCGGUGCUGGAAGGUUAAGGAAGGAUGUUCGGCGCAAGCCAAAGCUUCUGACUGAAGCCCCAGUAAACGGCGGCCGUAACUAUAACGGUCCUAAGGUAGCGAAAUUCCUUGUCGGGUAAGUUCCGACCUGCACGAAUGGUCUAAUGAGUUGAACACUGUCUCCUCCACGAGCCCGGUGAAAUUGUAGUAUCGGUGAAGAUGCCGGUUACCCGCCACGGGACGGAAAGACCCCGUGAACCUUCACUACAACUUUGCAUUGAUUUUGAAUUACGGAUGUGUAGAAUAGUUGGGACGCUUUGAAGCCUUGCCGCCAGGUAGGGUGGAGCGGUCGUUGAAAUACCAACCUUCUUUGAUUUAGAGUCUAAUCCCUAACGGGAAACAGUGCAUGGUGGGUAGUUUGACUGGGGUGGUCGCCUCCUAAAGAGUAACGGAGGCUUGCAAAGGUACCCUCAGUACGGUUGGUAAUCGUACGUAGAGCGCAUUAGUAUAAGGGUGCUUGACUGUGAGGCAUACAAGCCGAGCAGGGACGAAAGUCGGCUAAAGUGAUCCGGCGGUUCUGUAUGGAAGGGCCGUCGCUCAAAGGAUAAAAGGUACUCCGGGGAUAACAGGCUGAUCUCCCCCAAGAGC